ACCGUAGCAAUAGACGAUGCGCAAUCUCAGAUUGCGCAUAUAUUUAUCUGUCAAACGGGUCGAUUUGAUAUAUUUAUCUGUCAAAAAAAAUUUAUAUAUCUCGGACAUAUAAAUCUCGAAAAUUUAUGCGCAAUCUUAGCGCAAUCUUGAAAUAAUAAGUUUGUUUACAUAUAGCGGUAGGUAUUGAAACGAAUAAAUAUGAGAUGAUGCGUUGAUUUUUGAACCAAAAAUCUAAUUAUGUUUUGAUUUCAGCCAUGGAGAACGAAUUGUCGAACGUGCCGAAUCGCCGGAAUUAUGAAAAAUUGGUAAAUAUAUAAUCAUUCUGUUUUUGCUACCGGUGUUUUUGUAGUGGAAGCAAUUCUUGGGUGUAUUUUUGUAAAUUUAUUUUUACUCGUAUUUUAUUUAAAUCGUAUAUGUUCAGUGUUUGUGAUUUGUGUAUGCGGUAGAAAUUUAGAAAUAUGGGCAACGAUUGAAUUAUUGUUCAAUUUUGAUUAUUUUACGGCUUGGAAAAAACAUAACCUCUGCUGCUUCUCCAGCUACCGGCGAUUUUUUUAAAACGACAGUUGCUUUGGAGUUUGUGAAAAAUUUGUAAAAAUUAUAGAUUGUAAAAAUUUUAAAUUGUAAAAAUUGUAGAUUGUAAAAAAGUUUAAAUUGUAAAAAUUGUAAAUUGUACUAAUUUUAUGUACCUAGCUAGCCUUUAUUUUUGCAGGAAUAUACCAUUGAACUGAAAUGUUUUAUUUGUACAUUGCAGCUCUUUGAGAAAUGACCUGGCUGUACCACGGAAUGUUGUGUUUCUUAUUAGUCCGCAUACACUAAUAAUGAUUUGGAAUCCUGGAAUCUAGGUUAUGCGGUUUUGGUCUUCUUCCAACAGGAUAUAUUUCAUCUGAUCCGGAAAAUCAACUAUUCCUUCUGGCCCUGUUUUCCUGCACCAUUUUUGCUGCAACCUCUACCCCAACUGCUACAAUGGAAGCUAUUGCUGUUGCCGCUGCGAUAAAAAAAAGUUUCUUAUUUUUACAGUAACGUUUAUGUGUAUUUUAAUAUUUUAUAUUACAGCUCUUUCGAGGUUGAGGACUGAUAAUGGAAGAAAACUGCUGCAUCUUCCGGGCCAUCAACAUAAUAACGGGGUCAUGCGGAUGGUGAAUGAUAAGUAAUUGAGUCGAGAUUAAUAGUUUUUUAUUAUUGAUUUGCUUCCAGAACGUUGAGCCAAGCCUUCGGCUAAUUGCCGAGGUGGAACGACGGCCUGCUUUAUGGCAAAAGCGGUCGGAGUUUUACAAAAACGGAAUUCGGCGUAGGGAUGCGUGGACCGAGAUUGGUAGAAUCUUGGAACUUACCGUCGAAGAGGCCAGUUAUCAGUGGAGGAAGCUGCUGACCAGCUACCGGACGUAUAAGUCCAAGCUGCGUAAAAGUCAGCAAAGCGGAGCAGCGGCUGAGGACGUUUUUCGGCCAAGAUGGUUCGCCUUCGACGCGAUGAAGUUCCUUGACGAUACCAUGAAGGACGGCACGCAUCUCGAUACGUUCGAUGACGACCUAGAACAACACACCUCCACCCAAACCCACCCAAUCCCUUCUUGUUCCUAUUCCUCAAUUCCGCCGCAACCAACAAUCCCAGCACCAACCCCAGCACCAAUCCCAGCACCAACCCCAGCACCAAUCCCAGCACCAACCCCAGCACCAACCCCAGCACUAAUCCCAGCACCAACCCCAGCACCAAUCCCAGCACCAACCCCAGCACCAAGCCCAGCACCAACCUCAGCGAUGGAAAAUUGUUUCUCCAUGUUUGGCCAGUGGGUGGGUGCAUGGUUGAACCAUCUACCACCAGAACAGCAAAAUGAUGCCACCAACCAUUUGCGGCAGACGAUGCUAGAGUGGGAUCUUAAACACAAGAAAAAAUAAAAUAAAAAUAUUUACAAAACCAUA